rnacentral:rRNA from 1 species
CNCCCUACGGGGGAAAAAUUUAUUGCUAUUAGAUGAGCCUAUAUUAGAUUAGUUAGUUGGUGAGGUAAAGGCUUACCAAGACAAUGAUCUAUAGCUGAUCUGAGAGGAUGAUCAGCCACACUGGAACUGAGAUACGGUCCAGACUCCUACGGGAGGCAGCAGUGGGGAAUAUUGGACAAUGGGCGAAAGCCUGAUCCAGCCAUGCCGCAUGAGUGAAGAAGGCCUUCGGGUUGUAAAGCUCUUUUAGUGAGGAAGAUAAUGACGGUACUCACAGAAGAAGUCCUGGCUAACUCCGUGCCAGCAGCCGCGGUAAUACGGAGAGGGCUAGCGUUAUUCGGAAUCAUUGGGCGUAAAGGGCGCGUAGGCGGGUUAGUAAGUUAAAAGUGAAAUCCCAAGGCUCAACCUUGGAACUGCUUUUAAAACUGCUAGUCUAGAGAUUGAAAGAGGAUAGAGGAAUUCCUAGUGUAGAGAUGAAAUUCGUAGAUAUUAGGAGGAACACCAGUGGCGAANGCGUCUAUCUGGUUCAAAUCUGACGCUGANGCGCGAANGCGUGGGGAGCAAACAGGAUUAGAUACCCUGGUAGUCCACGCUGUAAACGAUGAAUGUUAAAUAUGGGAAGUUUACUUUCUGUAUUAUAGCUAACGCGUUAAACAUUCCGCCUGGGG